GGAUCCAGACUUUGAUUCUGGCUCAGGAUGAACGCUAGCUACAGGCUUAACACAUGCAAGUCGAGGGGCAGCGGGAUUGAAGCUUGCUUCAAUUGCCGGCGACCGGCGCACGGGUGAGUAACGCGUAUCCAACCUUCCGUACACUCAGGGAUAGCCUUUCGAAAGAAAGAUUAAUACCUGAUAGUAUCUUAAGCACACAUGUAAUUAAGAUUAAAGAUUUAUCGGUGUACGAUGGGGAUGCGUUCCAUUAGGUAGUAGGCGGGGUAACGGCCCACCUAGCCAACGAUGGAUAGGGGUUCUGAGAGGAAGGUCCCCCACAUUGGAACUGAGACACGGUACAAACUCCUACGGGAGGCAGCAGUGAGGAAUAUUGGUCAAUGGACGAGAGUCUGAACCAGCCAAGUAGCGUGAAGGAUGAAGGUCCUACGGAUUGUAAACUUCUUUUAUAAGGGAAUAAACCCUCCCACGUGUGGGAGCUUGUAUGUACCUUAUGAAUAAGCAUCGGCUAACUCCGUGCCAGCAGCCGCGGUAAUACGGAGGAUGCGAGCGUUAUCCGGAUUUAUUGGGUUUAAAGGGAGCGCAGACGGGUCGUUAAGUCAGCUGUGAAAGUUUGGGGCUCAACCUUAAAAUUGCAGUUGAUACUGGCGUCCUUGAGUGCGGUUGAGGUGUGCGGAAUUCGUGGUGUAGCGGUGAAAUGCUUAGAUAUCACGAAGAACUCCGAUUGCGAAGGCAGCACACUAAUCCGUAACUGACGUUCAUGCUCGAAAGUGUGGGUAUCAAACAGGAUUAGAUACCCUGGUAGUUCACACGGUAAACGAUGGAUACUCGCUGUUGGCGAUAUACUGUCAGCGGCUUAGCGAAAGCGUUAAGUAUCCCACCUGGGGAGUACGCCGGCAACGGUGCAACUCAAAUGAAUUGACGG
rnacentral:rRNA from 1 species